GAAAUGCGAUAAGUAGUGUGAAUUGCAGAAUUCAGUGAAUCAUCGAAUCUUUGAACGCACAUUGCGCCCCUUGGUAUUCCAUGGGGCAUGCCUGUUCGAGCGUCAUUUGUACCCUCAAGCUCUGCUUGGUGUUGGGUGUUUGUCCCCGUCUCCGCGCGUGGACUCGCCCCAAAGUGAUUGGCAGCCGGCGUACUGGUCCGGAGCGCAGCACAUGUCGCGCAAACGAGUGCCUUGGUACGGCGGCGUCCAUAAGCCCCUCUCUCACGCUCUUGACCUCGGAUCAGGUAGGGAUACCCGCUGAACUUAAGC
rnacentral:misc_RNA from 1 species